rnacentral:snRNA from 1 species
AUACCUUCUCGGGCCUUCUGACUAGGAUAAAGUGCAAUAUCUACAAUUUAACAUCUGGUAUAUGGGCCAUAUGCCUACUUUAAUUUUAAAUUUAUUUUUUGUGGGGAGAGUCUACUUUAACUUUAAAUUUAUGUUAAAUUUAUGUGUGUAUGGAGGGUCCAUC